rnacentral:rRNA from 1 species
GAUGAACGCUAGCGGCAGGCUUAAUACAUGCAAGUCGAGGGGUAGCAAGAUUGUAGCAAUACAAUUGUUGACGACCGGCAAACGGGUGCGGAACACGUACACAACCUUCCUACAAGUGGGGAAUAGCCCAGAGAAAUUUGGAUUAAUACCCCGUAACAUAGCGAUGUGGCAUCACAUUGCUAUUAUAGCUUCGGCGCUUGUUGAUGGGUGUGCGGCUGGUUAGAUAGUUGGCGGGGUAACGGCCCACCAAGUCUACGAUCAGUGGCUGAUGUGAGAGCAUGAUCAGACACACGGGCACUGAGACACGGGCCCGAAUCCUACGGGAGGCAGCAGUAAGGAAUAUUAGACAAUGGACGCAAGUCUGAUCCAGCCAUGCGGCGUGAAGGAUUAAGGUCCUCUGGAUUGUAACCUUCUUUUAUAAGGGACGAAAAAAGGUCUUUCUAGAUCGUCUGACGGUACCGUAAGAAUAAGCACCGGCUAACUACGUGCCAGCCGCCGCAGUAA